rnacentral:sRNA from 1 species
CUUCGUCGAUCUGUUGCGGACAGAUGAAAUGGAUGUGGCUGUCGAUGCCGCCGGCGGUGACGAUCAUUCCUUCGCCGGCGAUGAUCUCGGUUGCCCCGCCGAUGGCAAUCGUCACGCCGGGCUGGAUGUCGGGGUUGCCGGCCUUGCCGAUACCGGCGAUGUAGCCGCCCUUGAUGGCGAUGUCGGCCUUGACGAUUCCCCAGUGGUCGACGAUCAGCGCGUUGGUGAUCACCGUGUCGGCGACUUCGGCAGCGGGUUUCUGGCCCUGCCCCAUGCCGUCGCGGAUG